rnacentral:rRNA from 1 species
ACGGGAGGCAGCAGUGAGGAAUAUUGGUCAAUGGGCGGAAGCCUGAACCAGCCAAGUCGCGUGAAGGAAGGCGGUUCUAUGGAUUGUAAACUUCUUUUGCAUGAGGGUAAAGUGACCUACGUGUAGGUUAUUGCAAGUAUCAUGUGAAUAAGCAUUGGCUAACUCCGUGCCAGCAGCCGCGGUAAUACGGAGGAUGCGAGCGUUAUCCGGAUUUAUUGGGUUUAAAGGGUGCGUAGGCGGGAUAUUAAGUCAGCGGUGAAAGUUUGCGGCUCAACCGUAAAAUUGCCGUUGAAACUGGUGUCCUUGAGUGUAAACGAGGUAGGCGGAAUGUAACGUGUAGCGGUGAAAUGCUUAGAUAUGUUACAGAACUCCGAUUGCGAAGGCAGCUUACCAGCAUACAACUGACGCUGAGGCACGAAAGCGUGGGUAUCAAACAGGAUUAGAUACCCUGGUA